UGACUUUGUUUUGGAUAUAUUUGUUGAGAUCUGAAUGGGGCAAAUGGAUCAUUAUGAGAAUGACUUUGAAGCAGAUAUGCUGAAAGAUACCGCGGCUUAUUAUUCUCGAAAGGCUUCAAACUGGAUCUUGGAAGAUUCCUGUCCAGAUUAUAUGUUGAAAGCUGAGGAGUGUUUGAAACGAGAGAAGGAUAGGGUUGCUCAUUACCUACAUUCUAGUAGCGAGCUGAAGUUGCUUGAGCAUAAGGAUGUGACCAAGAGGUCUGCAGAAGAAACCUGUGCUCUCACCAGUCAAUCAAGACACUAUCACUCCACUACCUUCUGAAUCGGACACCAUGGAACCCAAAGAAAUGGUACUAUCAGAUGAAGAAAAAGAGAGGAACUCAGCAGAAGAAGAGAAGCUGGAGGAGUCGCCCAUCGACGAGGAAGCUGCCCACAAUUCCUCUAUUGUUCCAGCCAUCUCUAUUGCUGUCCGCCAAUUUGGUCGCUUUCUUCGUGAACUAUCUCACAGUACUCAAUCCGCUGCUGUCGUCGCUGCCUCAAUUACUGAGGUUUGUUGGCACAUAGUGAAGGGUUGGUGGUGAUGUUGAGGAAGUUCUUCCCCCUGUUCUUGAUUCUAGCUCUGACCCACCUCCUCUUUUUGAUGGAACCACAAGGGUCUGCAAGAGAAGAUCAAAUUAGUUCCUAUUGAUCUUCAAAAUAGGCCAGAUUGGUACAAGGAAAAAGUCUACCCACCAAAUAAGGUGCCAUCACUGGAGCACAAUAAUGAAAUUCGAGGAGUGAGUCUUGAUUUGCUAAAAUAUAUUGAUAGCCACUUUGAAGGACCGGCUCUUUACCCUGAUGUAAGUAGUAUUAUUUCGAAAUCAAAAAAAUGUUGCCCAGUUUUCGGGUUGCUCGGGUUCAAUUUGUCCAGGUUACACCCCAAAGCAAGAUCAUGUUUGGCUUAAAAACAUUAUAUGCCCAAGUACAGGUUAAACAGUGACCAAGCGAAUUUCGAGGCUAAAAGAGUAGGCAGUGCAAACUUCUUGUAUUACCAGUAUGAAAUAUGUAGGCCAAUCC